UGGCCGAAAGGCUGACGCAGCGACGCCGCGUGUGGGAGGACGCCCUUCGGGGUGUAAACCACUGUUGCCCGGGACGAACAUCCCCUUUCGAGGGGACUGACGGUACCGGGUGAGGAAGCACCGGCUAACUCCGUGCCAGCAGCCGCGGUAAUACGGAGGGUGCGAGCGUUGUCCGGAAUCACUGGGCGUAAAGGGCGCGUAGGUGGCGCGGGAAGUCUUCGGUGAAAGCUCAGGGCUCAACUCUGAGUCGGCCGGCGAUACUCUCGUGCUCGAGUGUGGUAGAGGCCAAUGGAAUUCCGGGUGUAGCGGUGGAAUGCGUAGAGAUCCGGAAGAACACCGGUGGCGAAGGCGGUUGGCUGGGCCACAACUGACACUGAUGCGCGACAGCGUGGGGAGCAAACAGGAUUAGAUACCCUGGUAGUCCACGCCGUAAACGAUGGGCACUAGGUGCUUGGGGGAGCGACCCCCUGAGUGCCGGCGCUAACGCAUUAAGUGCCCCGCCUGGGGAGUAC
rnacentral:rRNA from 1 species